rnacentral:snoRNA from 1 species
UCUGGUGGUCGGUGAUGACUGAACUUUUUUCCCCGCAGAUCGACAAUGUUGACUGUUCGGUACUUUAGCCAAACUUGUCUGAUGCACCAGA